rnacentral:rRNA from 1 species
UACGAAGGGGGCUAGCGUUGUUCGGAAUUACUGGGCGUAAAGCGCACGUAGGCGGACUACUAAGUCAGGGGUGAAAUCCUGGAGCUCAACUCCAGAACUGCCUUUGAUACUGGAGAGCUUGAGUCCGGAAGAGGUGAGUGGAACUCCGAGUGUAGAGGUGAAAUUCGUAGAUAUUCGGAAGAACACCAGUGGCGAAGGCGGCUCACUGGUCCGGUACUGACGCUGAUGUGCGAAAGCGUGGGGAGCAAACAGG